rnacentral:rRNA from 1 species
AUUGAACGCUGGCGGCAUGCUUUACACAUGCAAGUCGAACGAGUGGCGGACGGGUGAGUAACGCAUCGGAACGUACCCAGUACAGGGGGAUAACUGCCCGAAAGGACAGCUAAUACCGCAUACUAUUCGAGCGGCCGAUGUUGGCUUAGCUGGUUGGCGGGGUAAAGGCCCACCAAGGCGACGAUCGGUAGCUGGUCUGAGAGGAUGAUCGACCACACUGGGACUGCAACACGGCCCAGAAUCCUACGGGAUGCAGCAGUGGGAAAUUUUGGACAAUGGGCACAAGCCGGAGGAAGGCAGGCCGCGUAUGUGAAGAAGGCCUUCGGGUUUUAAAGGACUUUUGUCAGGGAAGCGGUACCUGAAGAGAAAGCACCGGCUAACUACGUGCCAGCAGCCGCGGUAAUAC